rnacentral:rRNA from 1 species
GACGAAGGAUGCAAGCGUUAUCCGGAUUCAUUGGGUUUAAAGGGUGCGUAGGCGGCUUUGUAAGUCAGUGGUGAAAUACGGCAGCUCAACUGUCGAGGUGCCAUUGAUACUGCAGAGCUAGAGUACUGAUGAGGUAGGCGGAAUGGACGGUGUAGCGGUGAAAUGCUUAGAUAUCGUCCAGAACACCGAUAGCGAAGGCAGCUUACUAAAGAGUAACUGACGCUGAGGCACGAAAGUGUGGGGAUCAAACAGG